GCUCCGAUGGGUCAAUGGUAGACCAGCCUGACGGUUUCAUUUCUGCAUCACAAGCUUAGCAGGCAGAUGCGGCUUCAACUCCCGCUUGGGGCG